GAUCCUGGCUCAGGAUGAACGCUAGCUACAGGCUUAACACAUGCAAGUCGAGGGAAACGAUAUUGGAAGCUUGCUUCUGAUAGGCGUCGACCGGCGCACGGGUGAGUAACGCGUAUCCAACCUGCCCACCACUUGGGGAUAACCUUGCGAAAGUAAGACUAAUACCCAAUGACGUCCCUAGAAGACAUCUGAAAGAGAUUAAAGAUUUAUCGGUGAUGGAUGGGGAUGCGUCUGAUUAGCUUGUUGGCGGGGUAACGGCCCACCAAGGCGACGAUCAGUAGGGGUUCUGAGAGGAAGGUCCCCCACAUUGGAACUGAGACACGGUCCAAACUCCUACGGGAGGCAGCAGUGAGGAAUAUUGGUCAAUGGGCGAGAGCCUGAACCAGCCAAGUAGCGUGCAGGAUGACGGCCCUAUGGGUUGUAAACUGCUUUUAUAAGGGAAUAAAGUGGGAGUCGUGACUCUUUUUGCAUGUACCUUAUGAAUAAGGACCGGCUAAUUCCGUG
rnacentral:rRNA from 1 species